GGCGCUUUAGGAGGGGCCUGCGUCCCAUCAGCUAGUUGGUAAGGUAGUGGCUUACCAAGGCGAUGACGGGUAGGGGACCUGAGAGGGUGGCCCCCCACAAUGGAACUGAAACACGGUCCAUACACCUACGGGUGGCAGCAGUAGGGAAUAUUGGUUAAUGGGCGAAAGCCUGACCCAGCAACGCCGCGUGAACGAUGAAGGCCUUCGGGUUGUAAAGUUCUUUUGACCGGGAUGAGGAAGGACAGUACCGGUCGAAUAAGUCUCGGCUAACUACGUGCCAGCAGCCGCGGUAACACGUAGGAGACGAGCGUUAUCCGGAUUUACUGGGUGUAAAGCGCGUGCAGGCGGUAUGGUAAGUUGGAUGUGAAAGCUCCUGGCUUAACUGGGAGAGGUCGUUCAAAACUACCAGACUAGAGGACAGCAGAGGGGAGUGGAAUUCCGAGUGUAGCGGUAAAAUGCAUAGAUAUUCGGAAGAACACCAGUGGCGAAGGCGGCUCUCUGGGCUGUACCUGACGCUCAGACGCGAAAGCUGGGGUAGCAAACGGGAUUAGAG
rnacentral:rRNA from 1 species